rnacentral:tRNA from 1 species
GGGCCGGUGGUGUAGUUGGUUAUCACGUCUGUCUAACACAUCUCAUGGGCACACAGACGGUCCUCAGUUCAAGUCUGGGCCGGCUCA